rnacentral:lncRNA from 1 species
GCGAGGCAACAGAGCAUCCCCGGGCUGCAGGCCUCCGGGCGGGCAGCCUGGGAGAGAGGUGUGUGCGUGCAAAAAUCGGAUCCCACCAGUCUUGCGGAUGCCCUUGGCCCGCCCUUCGGUCACUGUUCCUGGCCCUUUCUUGAGAACACCUGAAAAUGGACAGUACCCAGACAUCAGUCUCCUUCAAGGACUUGACUGUGGACUUCACCCGUGAGGAAUGGCAAUAUCUGGGCCCUGCGCAGCGCCUCCUGUACAGAGAUGUGAUGCUGGAGAACUACAGUAACCUCAUCGCACUGGGGUUUCGUGUUAGCAAACCAGAUGUGAUCCUAAAACUGGAGCAAGGG